ACGAUAAGCUUGGCGCUCUUUGCAUGCAAUGGUUACAAGACAAGGUCCACUCAAUCCGCGAGGCUGCUGCCAACAAUGUGAAGCGUCUUGCUGAAGAAUUUGGUCCUGAAUGGGCAAUGCAGCAUAUAGUUCCACAGGUUCUUGAGAUGAUCAGCAACCCUCACUAUCUGUACCGUAUGACCAUUUUGCGUGCGGUUUCUCUUCUUGCACCAGUGAU